GCGUUACUGUAGCUGCUGCUGCUGCUGCUGCUGCUGUUAACGCUAACGUGACCAUGGCCGUAAUUGAUUGCCGCCUGCCUGCUGCCGAUAGCCUAAUGAAUUGAUGGAACAGCAGCAGCAGCAGCCGACGCAACAGCAACAGCAACAGUUUCGGCAG
rnacentral:sRNA from 1 species